AUUCCAGCUCCAAUAGCGUAUAUUAAAGUUGUUGCAGUUAAAAAGCUCGUAGUUGGAGUUCAGAUUGAGCUCGGCCGGUCGGCCUAAUUGGUCAGAACUGGUUGACUCUGUCUUGUUUGUGGAUCCCUCCGGAGUUAACUCUUCGGAUGUGGAGUCCACAUCGUUUACCUUGAAAAAAUUAGAGUGUUCAAAGCAGGCGUUUGCUUGAAUAUAUUAGCAUGGAAUAAUGGAAUAGGACGCUGGUUCUAUUUUGUUGGUUUGUGCACCAUGGUAAUGAUUAAUAGGGACAGUUGGGGGUAUUCGUAUUCCAUUGUCAGAGGUGAAAUUCUUGGAUUUAUUGAAGACGAACUACUGCGAAAGCAUUCAUCAAGGAUGUUUUCAUUA
rnacentral:rRNA from 1 species